CAUAUUUCUACGUCAUUUUCUUCGUACUCGUUCUUCCCGAAGUCAUCUUACAUCUAGUGUGUGACAAUAUUAUUAAGUCGCCUAAACGGUAAUCACUCGAAACAUUUGAGGAUCUCGCGCGUUUACCAAAGGGAGCAAGAAAAAGCGAAGGAGAGAGAGGAGCCAUUGGCUCGUGCUUAAAACCGUGUCUUCUAUCCUCGUCGAGAUUAUCUCAACAUACGAUUGAACGACAGUAGUGCGAGUUUCUUUUUGUUGAUUCCCUGCUCGAUGCCAUGGACCGUUAUCUUGUUCUCUUUUUCUUUAGAUUCAAUCGAGCGCGAAGUUCAAAUAAAUUUCUCAGGCUCCUCUAAAUCUGCCAAUUUCUACGACCCAAGAUUUCGAUGGAUUAACCAGUCGUUCGAUCUAUCGAUGACUUCUCUAGUCAUAAGAGACGAAAAGUUAACUACGCUAUUAGCGAAACGAUAUUACUAAGAUUUCAUUACUAUUUAUUGUCCUUUUUCAAGCAAUUUGAUCACUUUCUUACCGAAAAAUUUUCGAGAACACAUUGGUUUGUAAUCACGGUGCAAAUAAUAAUCUAUUCCGAAGUGUCUAAGUCAGUGCUCUCUUAACCUAAUUUAAAAAAUAAAAAAAUACUGACAAAAAUCAUUAACACAAUUAUUAAAAAAAAAUUGAAAUCAACUUAAAAAUCGCAUAGCGGCACGAAAUAUUUCAACUACAACUUGUUUCAACUAUCCAUCAUACAUAACCUAAAAAAAAUCAAAUAUUACUUUCACAAACAGCACAUUGGUCUAUAUCUACAAAAUAUCUGCAAGUAUUUAUCUUCGAGUUUUCUCAUUCAUCAUUCUCAUUUAAUCUCCAUCAUUUUUCAGAAUCCAACAAGGAUCCUAAAGCAAAUUUAUGAAUACCUAACAAAUCUCUCUCUGUGGAUAAAUAAAGAAGCGCAAGAAUGGUCCAAAUCAUCGAACAGCGAACCAUCUUUGAGAACAGAGUCUAGGUCUCCUAUAAAGUAUAUCAGAGCAGUUCUGCACGUUACGUGGAGGUGGACGUCGUCGUGAAAUCGGUACGUGUUUCUCCUUCAAGAGGAGGCGAAAUGGGACGCGACGACGCCACGACGAGCGACGAAUGGGACGACCGUGGGUGAUCGUCACACGGUAGUCACCCGGUCGACCUCGACGUACCGCACAGAACUGUCGCUGUGUCAGCAAAUCACUUCCUUUCCAUCGAUGAUCGCCGUCUCGGAGGAGAUGCUCUUCAGUCUAUGUUGCGAUAUCGACCGAUUCGUCCGUUGCCUACAGAUCCGCCAAAUCACGAAGAUAAUGACGGCGAGAAUCGUGAUGAUGGCGAGGAGGCCAAGGCCCAAGUGGAGGGGAGGCAAUUGCAGGAGGACAGAACAGUGAGUCAGAGCCUCGUCGUAUCCUGAUGGACAAUGAGAGAUUCCGUCGCACCAUAGAGAAGCGUUUAUGCACGCAUCCAGCUCUGGACACCGCUGUUCGCAGUCACGUGGCAUCUGCAACCCUGCUGUCGAUGUUACCGAUGGUUAUAGAAAUUCAAGCGAAGGAAAAAUGAAUAAAUUCUGAAUUGAAUACUUUCUAAAGAGGAUUAAGAAAUUUGGACAUCAAGGAAAGGUUUUAUCAAGGAAAUGCGUCAGAUUAGAUAUGAGCUCGAGCCAGGUGACCGUGUACGUAUCCGGUUCCUUGACAAUGAACUCGAUGGCUAUAGUCCUGACGGGGUCCUGACCCGGCACCAGAAUCAUGGCAUUGCUGCUGACGGCCCAGCCGUCGCUGAAAACUUCGACCACGUGGUGUCUAGACUCCGCAGGUGGUUUCGGGCACACCGACACGUGAAUCGUGCCACCGGUAUUGAUUCGGCCCAGGAUCUAUCAGCCAUGGAUGCUUCUCACAAUUUUUCUGAAAAGCAAGAUCAAUCCAAAAUUUCUCAAAUUUCUCAACUCUCAAGAUCAACGAGCUUCUUCAUUCAUCAUAUAUCAAAGAGUCUCACCUCAUCCUCGUCGACAAUUGGAGCUUUGUACUUGAUCUCUCCGGAAGGCCCCCUCACCCUCCUCUUCUGCAAACAAGGAAUCGUCUUGACGAAUUCCCAUAUGCCUUCGAAGAACAGAUUAUUGUAGUCGUCCAACGCGUCCAUAGACCUGACGGUGAAGUGCACCUCGACGAUGUUCGAGGUCGAUUUGAUAUUGAUCGGCAGUGAUCGAUUGGAACACAGGCAGUCUCGUUGCACGGGCGGCGCAUUCGGCCAGGGAAGAUCGAGCACCUGUGGAUAUCGAGCCGUGAUUCGGUCCCGCGGGUCGCUUGCCAUUUAAUUAGCCGUCAGAUUAUAUUAUAAUUGCAGGGGGACAAACAUGACGGCCGGGUAUCGAGAGCAUAAGCGUCCCUAAUUGCGCUUUAAAUUCGCGAGCUGGCGACCCUCGUAAAUCCUGGAAUCGAUAACGAACUUGGAACGAACGAUGGUAACCACCUAUGGUUUCGGAUCGAAAUUUUAGAUUUAUUCGGCUUUUGCCCACCGCUGCCACUCCGAUUACCGUUUACACGCCGAAUUUCUGAUAAAGUUUUAAUGAAAACGCGCCCUCGUUAAUUACGACCUCUCACCCCUCGUUCUCGUGAGUUGGGAAAAUUGUCGAUAGAGGUCCCCUCGAUCGCCACUGGGAAACUUUAAAUUAAAAUCGUUGCUCAUUUGUGAUUGGUGUUCGAAUCUUAUUUGUGCGAUUCCAUUGGUGGAUUUUUAAAGAUUUAUCGUUUGGUUCUUUUUAUCAUUUUAAAGAGAGUGGAUAUUUUGUGUGUGCAUCAUGUUGUUCUUUUACACGAGGUGUGUUAAAAAAUUCGAUAAUAUGUUAUUUUUCUUCUCGCAUUCAUUUCUAAACAACGUCGAGAAGAAUAGUUCUUGUAUAUUAUUGAAGCAAAUUUAAAUCCGAUCGAAAUCGAAGUGUAACGAUAUUGAAAAGAAAAUAAUUGUUUCGAUCUCUCUGAUUAAUUUUUGAACAAAGCUCUAUCGUUCUCGAUUAUCCGAACAACACCGACUUGCACAUUUGCUCGCCGACGUUAACAACUCUAUUCACGAGAGAUGAAUGGGCCCCUCUAGCGAUCUCCUGUCGUGCAAAUAUAAAACGGAGCAAUACCUAUUCAAAGUUCGUUUCGAAGAUUAAUUGGAACACGUGCCGCGUUAUUAUCGCGAAACAGAUCGAGGAAAGGAAAUAUUUGAAACGGUUCCGCGCUUUCAAUUGUUGAAACAUAAAAAAAAGCAGAAAAACUAUUACAAACUAUCUGAACCAAAAAACCACGUCGGUAAAGUCAAGUAAAAGGUAUGCAGAAAACAUUUUCAUAAAUUGAAAUCCGUCCAAAUCUACGUGAAAAAGGGACGAGACUCACCUUCACGGAGAAGUUCUCCGAUCCGACGCAGAGGAGCCGAUUAAAGUCUGGGCUGGAGACGCUGCGGCACGUCCGGUUCCCGUUCAAAAGCUUGUUGAACCGCAGCUUCACGAUCUCGUCGUGCUCGCCCUCGAAUCGAUACACGCAGCUGGAAAAUCCGUUGUAGCCUGUACUAAUGGAAUUUACAUGGUCGGCCGGCCACGCAAAGGAAAUCGUAUUCCUCGAUCGAUACCGCACGAGAGAUUACGAGGAGGAGCAGAUCAACCAUGGUCAAUGAUGUUUCUCGUUCGUUAACCGAUCGUCGGUUAAACCCCUUGCGUUGGUUUGAGAGAGAAGGGAAGCGAAAGGAAAUUGAAGAAAUAAUGGAAUAAAUCAAGAGGCGAAGAAAAAAUUUUAAAUGGUAUAGAUAAACUUGAUCUCUGGUAUGUAAUUUAUAGUAUGGAUCUGUUCAUCAGUGAUACAUGGAAUUCUGUUUGAAAACAGGUAAAGGGAAUGAAGAAGAAUAGAGAAAUGGAAAGUUUGAAAACAGGUAAAGGGAAUGAAGAAGAAUAGAGAAAUGGAAAGUUGGGGAAAUGAAGAAUAGAAAUUUUAAUCCGGAUUAAUUUUCCUUGGCCUCUGUCAUAUUUCAUUCCUCUUUCGCAUGGCGUGUAAUUACAACUGCGAACAAAGUAAACGAGUAUCCGUCACGCAGCAGCAGCUAUGGAAUUCUAUUUGAACGGUAAACAAAUGAUAAAUGAACAACGACAAAAGCGAAAAAGCGAAUUGUAUAUCGUUGAUAACUGAUCAGAGGUGCACUCCUUUUGGAGGAAUGUGUUGCUUCUCUCGUGUCAAAAAUGAAAAGAUAUAAAGAUCCGUUUUAUGAUCUUGUGAAGCCAAGAAAAGUUUGAUUGGGAUUGGAUCGAUUGAGGAGUUGUUCACGCGAGGAUUGAAACGGAGUAAGAGUUGAAUUCGGUGUCAAUGGAACUUUAGGUAAAAUUUGACUUUCCUUUCUGUGGAUUUUGUAAGUUUCGAAAGAGAGAGAGAGAGAGUUGUCAAAGUUGGAAGGAUAAACAGAGGGAAAUUUAUAAUAGGGAUAGUGGUUGGGUAAAGGUCUCUUGGAUCUGUUUGUAGGAGCACGAGAAAUCUGAAAGCUUGGAAAACGAAGAAGGGGAAGUUUUCAAUGAGGGAAUAGUGAUUUUUUUUUUAAGAUUCGCUUUGGAGAGAGGGGAAUAAUAGCUUUGGCGAGAUAAAGGAAAAAGAAUCGAAAGAGAGAAAUGCUCGUGAUAAACGAAUAGCUUUUCCAAUCUUAAGUUGGUGAAAGUUUUUACUUGUUAAACUUGUAACUAUGAAAAGAAAAAGAUUUUAAAGGAGUAGGAAUUCUUACUGUAUGAAUUGUUACUGUAUGGAAUAUCAUAUCUCGUUUUAACAUUUGAGUUUUCUCAGUAUUAUUUAUUUGUAACGAAAAAUGUUUAUUUGUAAUUCAGAUAAAAGUUGAAUGGUGUCAAAAAA